CUUGGUCAUUUAGAGGAAGUAAAAGUCGUAACAAGGUCUCCGUAGGUGAACCUGCGGAGGGAUCAUUACACAAAUAUGAAGGCGGGCUGGAACCUCUCGGGGUUACAGCCUUGCUGAAUUAUUCACCCUUGUCUUUUGCGUACUUCUUGUUUCCUUGGUGGGUUCGCCCACCACUAGGACAAACAUAAACCUUUUGUAAUUGCAAUCAGCGUCAGUAACAAAUUAAUAAUUACAACUUUCAACAACGGAUCUCUUGGUUCUGGCAUCGAUGAAGAACGCAGCGAAAUGCGAUAAGUAGUGUGAAUUGCAGAAUUCAGUGAAUCAUCGAAUCUUUGAACGCACAUUGCGCCCUUUGGUAUUCCAAAGGGCAUGCCUGUUCGAGCGUCAUUUGUACCCUCAAGCUUUGCUUGGUGUUGGGCGUCUUGUCUCUAGCUUUGCUGGAGACUCGCCUUAAAGUAAUUGGCAGCCGGCCUACUGGUUUCGGAGCGCAGCACAAGUCGCACUCUCUAUCAGCAAAGGUCUAGCAUCCAUUAAGCCUUUUUUUCAACUUUUGACCUCGGAUCAGGUAGGGAUACCCGCUGAACUUAAGCAUAUCAAUAAGCGGAGG
rnacentral:rRNA from 1 species